AUCUCCAUCUCCUUCUGUGUAGGAACAUUUCCAGCUAAACAGCAGGAUUUCAACAUUGUUCCAAAGGUCUUCCCAUGCAAGCCAUCUGUGCCUGACAAGGCUCUGCUGCAGAUAACACUUCUGAUGGCUCUGGACAAUAAAAGCUGGAGGUGCUUUGCCACAAGGAGCGUGUGUCCCCAGCAGAUGUCCCACCAGUGACAGCUAAAUCUGGGAGCUGGCACUUGCUCACUCCCCGAGCUGCAGCCUCGCUGGGAGCUCAGCAGGGAUCCUUGCCCAGGGAUGAACACUCUGCAAGCCAAGGAUCCCAUUCCCCUCCCUGUUUGCUCCUUUAUUUUGGCACUGGAUGGGUGUUUGGACACCAUGAAAAAUCACUGGAAUGUCACAAACAGAGCCACUGCAUGAACUUCACACCUGGAAGUCCUGGGAGCUCUGGUGCUGAUCCUGCUGGGUUUCUGCUUUGUUUGGACGAUGAAGCAAACAAAGUUCCUAGAAAUGGCUCCUACUGGUACUGUGCCAGGUUUGAUGGUGGAAUUCAUUCUCACAGGGCCUUCUGACACCACAAGAAACAUCAGCUGCUCCUCACAGUGCUGGGAAGGGUUUUCCCUGAAUGCUGGUACUGCAACACCACCUCAAAUAAACAGAGAAUCAGCAACCUCUGUUCUC